rnacentral:sRNA from 1 species
CCUUCUGAAGAAUGAGCAGUUUUUAUCGCAUCUCCUCUUGUUCCUACACUUGGACAGCGGUGUCCCUCAGGGUGUCACACAACAGGUCACCCACAAGGUGGCACAGCACCUGACAGGAGCCAGCCAUGGGGACAACGUGAAGCUUCUCAACAGCAUGAUCCAGGCACACAUAUCUGUAAGCACUCAGCCCAAUGAAGUGGGCCCCGUUGCUGUGUUGGAGUUCUGGGUUCAGGCUCUCAUAAGCCAGCAUCUCUGGUACCGAGAACAACCUAUCCUCUUCCUCAUGGACCACUUGUGUAAAGCAGCUUUUCAGCUGAUGCAGGAAGACUGCAUACAGAAAUUACUCUACCAGCAACAUAAGAAUGCCUUGGGUUACCACUGUGACCGGAGUCUGCUCUCGUCUUUGGUAAGCUGGAUUGUGGCAGGCAACAUCACUCCUUCCUUUGUGGAGGGCUUGGCCACGCCCACUCAGGUCUGGUUUGCCUGGACAGUGCUCAACAUGGAAUCCAUCUUUGAAGAGGACUCCCAGCUCCGGAGAGUUAUUGAAGGGGAAUUGGUGAUAAACUCUGCUUUCACCCCUGACCAAGCUCUGAAGAAAGCCCAGACCCAGCUGAAGCUCCCCAUCGUGCCAUCCCUCCAGAGGCUGCUGAUUUAUCGCUGGGCCCACCAGGCUCUGGUCACACCUUCUGAUCACCCCCUCCUGCCACUCAUUUGGCAGAAGUUCUUCCUUCUGUAUCUUCACCGUCCAGGACCACAGUAUGGGUUACCCAUAGAUGGUUGUAUUGGAAGAAGGUUUUUUCAAAGUCCUGCUCAUAUCAAUUUGUUGAAAGAAAUGAAGAGACGUUUGACUGAGGUGGCUGACUUCCACCAUGCUGCAAGCAAGGCCCUCCGUGUUCCAGCAGAGGGCAGUGAAGGGCUGCCAGAGAGCCACUCUGGCACCCCUGGUUACCUGACUUCACCAGAACUGCACAAGGAGCUGGUGAGGCUCUUCAAUGUAUAUAUAUUAUGGCUAGAAGAUGAGAAUUUUCAAAAAGGAGAUACCUAUAUCCCUUCUCUACCAAAGCAUUAUGAUAUUCACAGGCUAGCAAAAGUGAUGCAGAAUCAGCAGGAUCUGUGGAUGGAGUAUUUGAACAUGGAGCGCAUCUAUCAUGAGUUUCAGGAGACUGUUGGUCUGUGGACACAGGCCAAGCUUGAGUCCCAUUCCACACCCUGCAGUUUGUCCGUGCAGCUGGACUUCACUGAUCCUUUGCUGGCUAAAGAAAGGGUUUUAAGUAACUUGCGGAAGCAUGAGGCUCCCCAGCCUCCCCUUGUUCUGCACCCGAUGAAGCCUCCUGUGCCAGUUAUUUCCCCUGCUGUGCUAUUGAGUCAGAAGGACGCCACCCAGCUGGUGUGCACAGACCUGAAUCUGUUGCAACAGCAGGCCAGAACCGCAGCUCUUCGGGAAUCUCAGCAGGUUGCUCUGGAUGGUGAGCUGUUGGACACAAUGCCAAAGCAGUAUGUGAAUCGUGAAGAACAGACCACACUACAUUUGGAGUGCAGAGGCAGCAGCGGUAAGAAAUGCCAAGGAGCCGCAGUUGUCACGGUUCAGUUUGAAGGCAUGCAUAAGAAUGAAGCCAUAAGCCAACAGCUUCAUGUUUUACGGAAGGAAGUGAAGCAGUUGCAAGCAGAAGCUGCUAAACCACCAUCACUUAAUAUUGUGGAAGCUGCUGUACAUGCAGAAAACUUGAUCACGGCCUUAGUGAAUGCCUACAAGUUGCAGCCUACACCUGGGAUUCAGAAAGUUGGCAUUAGCCUUUUCUUUACUAUUGUGGAUUACGUCAGCGAUGAGACGCAGCGUCAUCCCCCAACAAGGCAGUUCUUUACUUCAUGUAUUGAGAUCUUGGGACAGGUAUUUAUCAGUGGCAUUAAAUCAGAGUGCAGAAAAGUACUUGAAACCAUUCUGAAGAACAGCAGGCUCUGUUCCCUGCUGUCUCCUUUCUUCACUCCCAAUGCUGCGCCUGCAGAGUUCAUACAGCUGUAUGAGCAAGUGGUGAAGUUUCUAAGUGAGGACAACAGUGAUAUGAUUUUCAUGCUGCUAACCAAGUUCGAUCUUAAACAAUGGUUAAGCGCCACUAAACCUCCUCUGUCUGAUCGUACCAGGCUUCUGGAGUCCAUUCACUUGGCACUUACUGCCUGGGGCCUUGAACCAGAUGAGGAUAUUUUGAUGCCAUUUAAUCUUUUCUGUAAGCACUGGACUUAUCUUCUUCUCUACCAGUUUCCUGACCAGUACAGUGACAUUCUCAGGCUGCUUAUGCAAAGCUCCGCGGAGCAGCUUCUGAGCCCCGAGUGUUGGAAAGCCACUCUGAGAGCCCUGGGCUGCUGCGCCCCCAGCUGCCAGCAGGGGGCAGCGUCCACCGAGGGCGCCGUGCUUCCCAGCUCUUCUGAUGCUCUCUUGUCAGACAAGCAGGUAAUGGAGACUAUACAGUGGCUUUCAGACUUUUUUUAUAAGCUUCGGUUAUCCAAGAUGGACUUUAAAAGCUUUGGUUUAUUCUCAAAAUGGAGUCCUUAUAUGGCUGAUGUGAAGACAUUCUUGGGCUACCUUGUGAAAAGGCUGAUUGACUUAGAAAUGACCUGUUUGGCCCAAGACCCAACUGCCAGCAGGAAAACAGUGCUGAAAUCCCUACAUUCAGUAAUCAUUCAGCUCUUUAAGCCAUGGAUCCUGGUUUUAGAGGACAACGAAAGCAGCCAACAGCGGCAUUACCCCUGGCUGGAGAGUGAUACUGUGGUGGCCUCAAGCAUUGUGCAGCUGUUCACUGACUGUAUUGACUCACUGCAUGAGAGUUUUAAAGAUAAGCUGUUGCCAGGUGAUGCAGGAGCCCUUUGGUUGCACCUGAUGCAUUAUUGUGAAGCAUGUACAGCACCCAAAAUGCCAGAGUUCAUUCUGUACGCUUUCCAUAGCACAUACCGGAAACUGCCAUGGAAGGACCUGCACCCUGACCAGAUGCUCAUGGAGGCCUUCUUCAAAGUGGAACGAGGAAGCCCCAAGAGCUGUUUCUUAUUUUUGGGGUCUGUACUCUGUGAAGUCAACUGGGUUAGUGUGCUCUCUGAUGCCUGGAAUUCCAGUCCCCACCCAGAAACCCGCAGCAUGAUUGUCUGCCUCCUUUUCAUGAUGAUUUUAUUGGCAAAGGAAGUUCAACUGGUAGACCAAACAGAUUCACCUUUACUUAGUCUCCUUGGACAGACAAGCUCACUUUCAUGGCAUCUUGUGGAUAUUGUGUCGUACCAGAGUGUGCUAAGUUAUUUCAGCAGCCAUUACCCGCCGUCCAUCAUCCUGGCAAAAGAAUCUUAUGCUGAAUUAAUCAUGAAGCUCCUAAAAGUGUCUGCGGGCCUUUCUAUUCCUACUGACAGCCAGAAGCAUCUUGAUGCCGUUCCAAAAUGCCAAGCUUUUACUCAUCAGAUGGUUCAAUUCCUCAGCACCCUGGAACAAAAUGGAAAAAUCACCUUAGCAGUCCUAGAACAGGAAAUGUCUAAGCUCUUAGACGAUAUCAUUGUCUUUAACCCGCCCGACAUGGACAGCCAGACCCGCCACAUGGCCCUCAGCAGUCUCUUUAUGGAAGUCCUGAUGAUGAUGAACAACGCGACUAUUCCAACAGCAGAGUUUCUUCGGGGCAGUAUCCGGACCUGGAUUGGCCAAAAAAUGCAUGGGCUGGUGGUGCUGCCCCUUUUAACAGCAGCCUGCCAGAGCCUGGCGUCUGUCCGCCACAUGGCCGAGACUACAGAAGCCUGCAUCACUGCCUACUUCAAAGAAAGCCCUCUCAAUCAGAAUUCAGGAUGGGGACCCAUUCUGGUAUCCCUUCAGGUUCCCGAGCUCACCAUGGAAGAGUUCCUGCAGGAGUGCCUCACUCUGGGCAGUUACUUGACUCUUUACGUCUACCUGCUUCAGUGUUUAAACAGCGAACAGACUUUAAGGAAUGAAAUGAAAGUGCUGCUCAUCUUAAGCAAGUGGCUGGAACAGGUGUACCCAAGCUCCGUGGAGGAAGAGGCAAAGCUGUUUUUGUGGUGGCACCAAGUCCUUCAGCUCUCCCUCAUUCAGACAGAGCAGAAUGACUCCGUCCUGACAGAAUCUGUCAUUCGAAUUCUGCUCUUGGUUCAGAGCAGGCAGAACCUCGUGGCUGAGGAGAGACUCAGCUCUGGGAUCUUGGGGGCAAUUGGGUUUGGCCGGAAGUCGCCUUUGUCUAACAGGUAAGGAAGCGCCUUUCUAACACUGUUGUUCUAAAUAGGCCUCAGCCAUCUGUACCUACUUACAGGUUGUGAUAUACUUCAGUAGGUUUUUCGACUUAGGAUCUAGGUUCUCCAGAAAGAUUAAUGG